rnacentral:rRNA from 1 species
GACGAACCGUGCGAACGUUGUUCGGAAUCACUGGGCUUAAAGGGCGCGUAGGCGGUCGACCAAGUCUGGGGUGAAAUCUUUCGGCUUAACCGGAAAAGUGCCUUGGAUACUGGUCGGCUCGAGGGAGGUAGGGGCAGCUGGAACUUCCAGUGGAGCGGUGAAAUGCGUUGAUAUUGGAAGGAACGCCGGUGGCGAAAGCGAGCUGCUGGACCUCUUCUGACGCUGAGGCGCGAAAGCUAGGGGAGCAAACGGG